GGAAUAUUGGACAAUGGGCGCAAGCCUGAUCCAGCCAUACCGCGUGGGUGAAGAAGGCCUUCGGGUUGUAAAGCCCUUUUGUUGGGAAAGAAAUCCAGCCGGCUAAUACCUGGUUGGGAUGACGGUACCCAAAGAAUAAGCACCGGCUAACUUCGUGCCAGCAGCCGCGGUAAUACGAAGGGUGCAAGCGUUACUCGGAAUUACUGGGCGUAAAGCGUGCGUAGGUGGUUGUUUAAGUCUGUUGUGAAAGCCCUGGGCUCAACCUGGGAACUGCAGUGGAAACUGGACAACUAGAGUGUGGUAGAGGGUAGCGGAAUUCCCGGUGUAGCAGUGAAAUGCGUAGAGAUCGGGAGGAACAUCCAUGGCGAAGGCAGCUACCUGGACCAACACUGACACUGAGGCACGAAAGCGUGGGGAGCAAACAGGAUUAGAUACCCCAG
rnacentral:rRNA from 1 species